GAUGAACGCUGGCGGCGUGCCUAAUACAUGCAAGUCGAACGCUUUGUGGUUCAACUGAUUUGAAGAGCUUGCUCAGAUAUGACGAUGGACAUUGCAAAGAGUGGCGAACGGGUGAGUAACACGUGGGAAACCUACCUCUUGGCAGGGGAUAACAUUUGGAAACAGAUGCUAAUACCGUAUAACAAUGACAACCGCAUGGUUGUUAUUUAAAAGAUGGUUCUGCUAUCACUAAGAGAUGGUCCCGCGGUGCAUUAGCUAGUUGGUAAGGUAAUGGCUUACCAAGGCGAUGAUGCAUAGCCGAGUUGAGAGACUGAUCGGCCACAAUGGGACUGAGACACGGCCCAUACUCCUACGGGAGGCAGCAGUAGGGAAUCUUCCACAAUGGGCGAAAGCCUGAUGGAGCAACGCCGCGUGUGUGAUGAAGGGUUUCGGCUCGUAAAACACUGUUGUAAGAGAAGAAUGACAUUGAGAGUAACUGUUCAAUGUGUGACGGUAUCUUACCAGAAAGGAACGGCUAAAUACGUGCCAGCAGCCGCGGUAAUACGUAUGUUCCAAGCGUUAUCCGGAUUUAUUGGGCGUAAAGCGAGCGCAGACGGUUAUUUAAGUCUGAAGUGAAAGCCCUCAGCUCAACUGAGGAAUUGCUUUGGAAACUGGAUGACUUGAGUGCAGUAGAGGAAAGUGGAACUCCAUGUGUAGCGGUGAAAUGCGUAGAUAUAUGGAAGAACACCAGUGGCGAAGGCGGCUUUCUGGACUGUAACUGACGUUGAGGCUCGAAAGUGUGGGUAGCAAACAGGAUUAGAUACCCUGGUAGUCCACACCGUAAACGAUGAGUGCUAGGUGUUUGAGGGUUUCCGCCCUUAAGUGCCGCAGCUAACGCAUUAAGCACUCCGCCUGGGGAGUACGACCGCAAGGUUGAAACUCAAAGGAAUUGACGGGGACCCGCACAAGCGGUGGAGCAUGUGGUUUAAUUCGAAGCAACGCGAAGAACCUUACCAGGUCUUGACAUCCCUUGACAACUCCAGAGAUGGAGCGUUCCCUUCGGGGACAAGGUGACAGGUGGUGCAUGGUUGUCGUCAGCUCGUGUCGUGAGAUGUUGGGUUAAGUCCCGCAACGAGCGCAACCCUUAUUACUAGUUGCCAGCAUUCAGUUGGGCACUCUAGUGAGACUGCCGGUGACAAACCGGAGGAAGGUGGGGAUGACGUCAAAUCAUCAUGCCCCUUAUGACCUGGGCUACACACGUGCUACAAUGGCGUAUACAACGAGUUGCCAACCCGCGAGGGUGAGCUAAUCUCUUAAAGUACGUCUCAGUUCGGAUUGUAGGCUGCAACUCGCCUACAUGAAGUCGGAAUCGCUAGUAAUCGCGGAUCAGCACGCCGCGGUGAAUACGUUCCCGGGUCUUGUACACACCGCCCGUCACACCAUGAGAGUUUGUAACACCCAAAGCCGGUGGGGUAACCUUCGGGAGCCAGCCGUCUAAGGUGGGACAGAUGAUUAGGGUG
rnacentral:rRNA from 1 species